UACAGAGGUCUCAAGCGUUGUUCGGAUUCAUUGGGCGUAAAGGGUGCGUAGGCGGCGCGGUAAGUCGGAUGUGAAAUCCCGGGGCUUAACUUCGGAACUGCAUUCGAUACUGCGAUACUCGAGGACUCGAGAGGAGAUUGGAAUUCACGGUGUAGCAGUGAAAUGCGUAGAUAUCGUGAGGAAGACCAGUGGCGAAGGCGGAUCUCUGGAGAGUUCCUGACGCUGAGGCACGAAGGCCAGGGGAGCAAACGGG
rnacentral:rRNA from 1 species